UGAAAACUUAAAACUUAAAAGACUUGACGGUGCUUCACACCAGCCUAGAGGAGCCUGUCCAAUAACCGAUAAUCCACGAUUAACCCAACCCAACCUUGCCAAACAGUCUAUAUACCGCCGUCGCCAGCCUACCUUGUGAAAGCAAAAUAGUAAGCAUAACAGCACACACUAAUACGACAGGUCGAGGUGUAACUUAUGGUUGGGCAUAAGAUGGGCUACAUUUUCUAACCAAGAACAAACGGACAAACCGUGAAACCGGGAACCAAAGGUGGAUUUAGCAGUAGGAUAAGAACAUAAUGCUUGACCGAAAUCUGCAAUGAAGUGCGU
rnacentral:rRNA from 1 species